rnacentral:rRNA from 1 species
AGGGUGUAAACGCUGCAGACUUGGUGUUGGAGGCCCUUUGGGGGCAUUCAGUGCCGGAGAGAAGUUGUUAAGUCUGCUACUUGGGGAGUACGUCCGCAAGGAUGAAACUUAAAGGAAUUGGCGGGGGAGCACCGCAACGGGAGGAGCGUGCGGUUUAAUUGGAUUCAACACCGUAAAACUCACCAGGGAAGACUGUUACAUGAGGGCCGAGAUGAAGACUCUGCUAGAUUUUCAGAGAGGUGGUGCAUGGCGUCAGUGACU